rnacentral:rRNA from 1 species
UACGUAGGUGGCAAGCGUUGUCCGGAUUUACUGGGCGUAAAGAGCGCGCAGGCGGUCGGAUAAGUCGAAUGUGAAAGCCCCCGGCUCAACUGGGGAGGGUCAUUCGAUACUGUUCGACUCGAAGGCAGGAGAGGGAAGUGGAAUUCCCGGUGUAGUGGUGAAAUGCGUAGAUAUCAGGAAGAACACCCGUGGCGAAGGCGGCUCUCUGGGACGGUACUGACGCUGAGACGCGAAAGCGUGGGGAGCGAACAGG